UCUCUCUCUCCCUUUCUCUUUCUUUUUCAUUUUUGCCAAACAAGAGAUAGUCUUAGUUUCCUUCACGAUCGGAGGUCCAAACAAUAUCCGAUCGUUACGAAAUUUUAACCAAAGGUGUAUACUCAUAAAGUAUCAUUCCUACAAAAGUAGAUCAAAAUUUUAACGGUUUGAUCUUCUGAUACUAAGCUUUUAAGUGGCUAUCAUUUCAACAGUAGCAACGUUGGUUUUGUACACGAUCGGAGGUUCAAACAUUGUCCGAUCGUUCUGAAAUUUUAAGGAAAGGAGCAUGCUUUGGGGAUUGGAGUUUCUUGAAAAAUGGAGCACUAGCUUUCUAGAAAAGCCACAACUCUUGUAACACUUGGAUCAUUUCCCAUUGUAGAGAAAUGACUCUAUUUUAUAAAUAGACAUUUAACAUCUAUUUGAGCUAUAAUUGUAUUCAGACAAUUAUUCACUAAAUUGUAAUUUCUUUGCACGACAAA